ensembl:lncRNA
CCGAUAUUUUAGCAAUAUUAUAAAAAGCGUUGUUCUCCGUAAUCAGGUGCAGGCCCGCUAGGUUUGCACACGGACACACCCGGUUCCUUGUUCAACCGCGGUGUCGCCGAUGCCUCAAUUCAGAAGCUGGAGGGAGACCCUCGAGAGGGCCCCUCUCCUCUCCAGGGCCUCUCCCGGCAGCGCCCGGCUCCUGGGAAGGACACACCGCUUGGGAGGAGGCCAGGCCUUCGAGAAGCUUGUCCAAGGCUCAUAGGAGAUACGCCAAGAAGUAAAAGCAGCUUGUUUUUCCUCUGGGCCUGACGGGAAGAGAGAGAGAAUGCAAAAUAUAGACAUUGUUUUUGGCCAAAGUUGGAGACCCUGGAAACUCUAGAUCAUUCCACAUGAAGAAGCAUGCACAGACUCAGGGGAGAUUCCACCCGGGUUGGACACAGGCCCCAAGUGGACCUGCGACAGGUGGCCUCCAGAGGAGGCGGAACACUGAAUCCUGCAAAGCAGAAGAGAGGCCCUGACUUCGGAGCCCUCGGUCCUGGGAUGGAAAUGGGACCAGGGACCUGCUGGCUAUGGGGCCGUCCCCAUAUACAGGUGACACGGAGGUGGAGUGGACAAGGAAACUCUGAGCAGCCUGUGGGUGAGGGGAGGUGGGGAGGGCAUCUUCUUGACCCCUGCGUGACUGACCUGUGUUCUGGGGAGUAGUCCAGGUGAACCUAAGUGGGUGGUCCUGCCAUGUGCACAGAGUCGUGUGUGAGGGGCUUUGCUGAGAACCAGAACUUCCAUCAGGUCUGGAACAUGGCCUUGACCGUCUCUGGCGUCAACCUCUUGCAAAUGGAAGGUCUGUAGAGAGCUGCCCGUGUUCCAUGAUGACUGAUAAUAGGACUGACCUAUGCCAAGUUACUGCAAGACACGAGGAGGAAGAGCAGGAAAGACGGGACACACGCCGACACAGAGCCGCCGAACAGACGACACUGUAGGACGCAGUGUGAUGACGCAGAGCAAUGAAGGGGACAGCCACCUCCCUAAGCAAGAGCCCAAGCAGAGACGCGAGAGCCGAAGAACUGCCGAGAGGAGAGGGGGAGAAACUAACGCACCACAGGUUGAGAAUGCGGAGGAGCGGCCGUCAGGAGGCUGGAAACACGGAAAAGGGAGAAGAACAGAUUUGGGAUGAUGAAGGGGGAGCAGAGAUUAGAGAGAAAGUAAUUAACAUAAAAGACAGACCCUCAGGAAGAGAAGGAAACAAAUGAAAACAAAACUUUGACGAUGGUCUCCCAGGAAAACCAGACAGAGGCCCAACGUGUGUGUGUGUGUGUGUGUGUGUGUAUGUGUGUGUAUGUGUGUGUGCGCGUGUGUGUGUGUACACAGGCAGUGAUAUAAUUGGCUACACGUGUGCAGGUCCACAAACAUACCACACGACGCCAAGCACGCACUUGGCCAAUGUGACAGCCCAUGUGGUUUCCAUCAGCCAACCGACGACCUCCUGCAGGAAGAGAACACAGGUUCGCGAGAUCUUCAAACUCUCGCACUUUCUUCACGUCGUCACCUCGGUGCCUUGUUGGUCUUCCCCCAGUUUAAUCUGUUGGGAAUUCUGCUGGACUCUCCUCAAGUGGCCUGAAACGUAUGUGUUGACACCACCACUUGAAGGGGCCUGCUCUGGGGUGGUCAGAAAGUAUCCACGUGGUCCUUCUGACACGGAGCCACGUGGCAGCAUCGGCGGUCCAGGUUCGCUUUACGGUGGAGCGAGCACAUCACAGGCAUCCUCGCAGCCUCCAGGCCUGUUUCUCCACUGCGGCUCUACUGACCUGGAGCUGGAGGUGUCUGUGGUGGGGCUUCUUGCGCAUCACAGGUGUGAGGCAGCGCCCUGCCUUCCACCUACUAGAGGAAGUGUCACCUCUCCUGGUGGUGACAACAAGGAAUGUCCCCACAGGCGGGCAGGGAGACAGAUGUGUAACACACAGUGACCCUCAUAAAGCCAUAGUCACAGAUGGUCACAGCACCACAGGGAGUACUGGGGGCUCCAAUGCACUCCCUUAGGGGAGCUGAUCAACCUGUAGGGUCAGGGCGGCCCCCUGAGGUCACCGUUCACAACAGCUCUGAGGGCUGAGUGGGGUGAGCCAGGCCAACGUGGAGGGAAAGUGGACAGCCGGCGUGGGGAAGUGCACGAUGGGAGCACUGCCUGACAGGAGCUGAGACCCUGAGGGAGGUCCAGGGUGGGGG